rnacentral:rRNA from 1 species
UACGUAGGGUGCGAGCGUUGUCCGGAAUUAUUGGGCGUAAAGGGCUCGUAGGCGGUUUGUCGCGUCGGGAGUGAAAACCUCGGGCUUAACUCGGGGCUUGCUUUCGAUACGGGCAGACUAGAGGUAUGCAGGGGAGAACGGAAUUCCUGGUGUAGCGGUGAAAUGCGCAGAUAUCAGGAGGAACACCGGUGGCGAAGGCAGCUCUCUGGUACGUGACUGACGCUGAGACGCGAAAGCGUGGGGAGCGAACAGG